rnacentral:rRNA from 1 species
UGGGCGCUUGCCUGAUGCAGCCUGCCGCGUGUGUGAAGAAGGCCUUCGGGUUGUAAAGUACUUUCAGUCGUGAGGAAGGCGGUGUCGUUAAUAGCGGCAUCGUUUGACGUUAGCGACAGAAGAAGCACCGGCUAACUCCGUGCCAGCAGCCGCGGUAAUACGGAGGGUGCGAGCGUUAAUCGGAAUUACUGGGCGUAAAGCGCAUGCAGGUGGUUUGUUAAGUCAGAUGUGAAAGCCCGGGGCUCAACCUCGGAAUAGCAUUUGAAACUGGCAGACUAGAGUACUGUAGAGGGGGGUAGAAUUUCAGGUGUAGCGGUGAAAUGCGUAGAGAUCUGAAGGAAUACCGGUGGCGAAGGCGGCCCCCUGGACAGAUACUGACACUCAGAUGCGAAAGCGUGGGGAGCAAACAGGAUUAGAUACCCUGGUAGUCCACGCCGUAAACGAUGUCUACUUGGAGGUUGUGGCCUUGAGCCGUGGCUUUCGGAGCUAACGCGUUAAGUAGACCGCCUGGGGAGUACGGUCGCAAGAUUAAAACUCAAAUGAAUUGACGGGG